AUGUUGCUUUCAGUCUCUCAGAUUCUCUCUUUAUUCUCCAGUACAAAUUCUCUAAUAUCCAUGUUUCUUCAGAGGAAGAGCAGUUCUCCAGAGACGGAGGAGAAAGUGAAGAGGUUGAGGAAGAAGAACACCGAACUCGCUGUCAUCGCCAAACGUUUGGAGGAGAGAGCGCGGAAACUACAGGAAGCCAACCUGAAAGUGGUGCGUGCACAAUUAUACACGGGCGCUGUGGAGCAGUACAAGCGUGCGUUUGCCCGUCAGAGAGCCAGAGACCUGGCGCAGCACGCAGACACACUGCUGUGUAAAGACAAACAGAUCGCAGCGCUGCAGCAGGAGUGCAGACAGCUGGAGACACGGCUGGGACAGGGGAAGGUACACAAACACACACCAGAAAGUGAGUUGGGCAAGAAGAGGAAAGAAUGUGAAGUUCUUGAGCAUGAGGUGCGGAAGAGACAGAAACGAUGUCUUGAUUUGGUGAGUGUUUUCUCAUAUUUUAAUGCUUACAGUGCAUGUUUCCUGCAUGUCAGGCUGAAAAAGUGUGUGUGUGCUGAAAAUGAGGAGCUAAAGGAACAGCUCUGUGUUUUGAACGCUCAGCAUAGUUCAGUUCUGGAGGAGAACCAGCGACUCCGUGCAAAGCUGGAGAACCUAGAGCAGGUCCUAAAGCACAUGCGAGACGUCGCCGAGCGCAGGCAGCAGCUGGAAUUGGAGCAUGAGCAGGCACUGGCUAUCCUCAAGUUCAAACAGGAUGAAAUCAAGCGACUCCAGCGGGCUCAAUUAUUUGCUAAAAGAGAACAUGAAGGUGUCGUGCAGAUGCUGGAGGUGAGUUUUACAUCUCAUUGCUUUGCAAAAGUUCGUGAGCUGGAGGAGAAAUGCCGCAGUCAGAGCGAGCAGUUCGGGAUGCUGUCACAGGAACUGGACAAAUUCAGGGUUCAGGCCUCAAAGAUCGACCUGUCGGACCCCAGCCCGACCCAGCUGACCAAUGGGGUCGGCCUGUCCGGUGAGACUAAAAUACCGAUCAUUACACGACACAUAACAGAUGUCCCUACGCCACCCAGAUCUGAGACAACUCACCUUUCUCCCAAAUCUGCCAGCCCCCGAAAGGUGGACACUGCUAGUGAAGUUGAGGAGCUGGAUAUUGAUGUUUCUCCGGCGCUGUAUUCAGUCAGUAAAGGAGCAGCGAAACUCCAGGUCUUCAUCGCACGGUACAGUUACAAUCCCUAUGAUGGUCCUAAUGAUAACCCAGAGGUCGAGUUGCCCCUCACAGCAGGAGAGUACAUUUACGUCUACGGAGACAUGGAUGAUGAUGGCUUUUAUGAGGGUCCUCCUGAUGCUCCUCUGGAUGUGCAGUUGGAGCAGGGCCCAUCUCCGGGAAUAGCUCAGAUCAGCUGGCUGCCCGUUACUAUAGAUGCUGCUGGGACGUCCAAUGGUGUACGAGUCACUGGCUACACCAUCUACGCUGACAAGAAGAAGGUAUUAGAGGUGUCGUCACCCACAGCAGGCAGCGCUCUGAUUGGUCCAUCUCAGAUCCAAACAUUACAGGCGGCCCGUGAGCUCACCGUGCGGACCAUGUCAUUUUAG
ensembl:lncRNA